rnacentral:rRNA from 1 species
UACGAAGGGGGCUAGCGUUGUUCGGAAUUACUGGGCGUAAAGCGCACGUAGGCGGAUAUUUAAGUGAGGGGUGAAAUCCCACGGCUCAACCGUGGAACUGCUGGGUAUACUGGGCGUCUUGGGCCAACUAGGGGUCGCUGGAACAAAUGGUGGAGCGGUGAAAUGCGUAGAUAUCAUUUGGAACGCCAAGGGCGAAAGCAAGCGACUGGGGUUGUGCCGACGCUGAGACACGAAAGCCAGGGGAGCGAACGGG